GGAUGACUGGUUCGAGGAUGUGCUCGAUGAGGCAGAGGAGGAAAUUGAAAUUGAAGCAAUUGCUGACCCCAUCGCUCAUCGUGAUAUUAUCACGGCUUUCUUCAAUGCUACCAAUAUUGACUAUCCUCAGAAGAAAAAGACCUCAUGGUUUAGAAGAGGCAUGCGCUUCUUAAGGAGGACAACAGCCCCCUUAAGAAGGCGUUAAAGAAGAAAAAAAUAAAGAGGCAGCAAUCAAACACAAAAUGAGGGCUCGAGACGAAACGUGUCGCAAGUCCAUCCAGUGUGCAUUUAAGGAUGCGAGUGGGAGUCAGAGGAAAGAAGCAGCUCACCAGGCUAAACAUAUGCCACAGUGGGUAUAGGAUGCAAGCAUCAUAGCCAACAAGAGCCGUG